rnacentral:rRNA from 1 species
UACGGGGGGGGGCAAGCGUUGUUCGGAAUUACUGGGCGUAAAGGGUUCGUAGGUGGCUCGUUAAGUCAGACGUGAAAUCCCUCGGCUCAACCGAGGAACUGCGUCUGAGACUGAUGAGCUCGAGUGCAGGAGAGGAACGCGGAAUUCCAGGUGUAGCGGUGAAAUGCGUAGAUAUCUGGAGGAACACCGGUGGCGAAGGCGGCGUUCUGGACUGCAACUGACACUGAGGAACGAAAGCCAGGGGAGCAAACGGG